UACGAAGGGGGCUAGCGUUGCUCGGAAUCACUGGGCGUAAAGCGCACGUAGGCGGCUUACUAAGUCAGGGGUGAAAUCCUGGAGCUCAACUCCAGAACUGCCUUUGAUACUGGUGAGCUUGAGUCCGGAGGAGGUGAGUGGAACUGCGAGUGUAGAGGUGAAAAUUCGUAGAUAUUCGCAAGAACACCAGUGGCGAAGGCGGCUCACUGGCCCGCAUACU
rnacentral:rRNA from 1 species